GCGCUGGUAGUAUAGUGGUAGUAUACAUCCCUGCCACGGAUGUGACCCGAGUUCGACUCUCGGCUAGCGCA
rnacentral:tRNA from 4 species